AACCACCUAAACGAUAAAAUUAUUACACGAAACUUUCACACAUAUAUAAUCACAUACUGUAAACACCAAAAAUAAUAUUAAAAUAAUUUUACAACCUUAGAUUUGUUUCCCCAAAAACACUAUUUUGAUUUAGCUAAAACCGGGCUAUUACACACUCAUUUUUCAACAAUCGUGAUUCCUCUUUUCUUCGGCACACACUACAUCGAACUUACCCACGAACUAUAUGAAAUAGG
rnacentral:lncRNA from 1 species